rnacentral:rRNA from 1 species
GACGAACCGUGCGAGCGUUAUUCGGAAUCACUGGGCUUAAAGGGCGCGUAGGCGGGUCGGUAAGUCAGGGGUGAAAUCCCCCGGCCCAACCGUGGAAGGGCCUCUGAUACUGCCGGCCUCGAGGGGGAUAGGGGCGUGCGGAACUCAGGGUGGAGCGGUGAAAUGCGUAGAUAUCCUGAGGAACACCGGUGGCGAAAGCGGCGCGCUGGAUCCCUUCUGACGCUGAGGCGCGAAAGCCAGGGGAGCAAACGGG